rnacentral:rRNA from 1 species
GGGGAAUAUUGCACAAUGGAGGAAACUCUGAUGCAGCGAUGCCGCGUGAGGGAAGAAGGUUUUAGGAUUGUAAACCUCUGUCUUCAGGGACGAAAAAAGACGGUACCUGAGGAGGAAGCUCCGGCUAACUACGUGCCAGCAGCCGCGGUAAUACGUAGGGAGCGAGCGUUGUCCGGAAUUACUGGGUGUAAAGGGAGCGUAGGCGGGAUCACAAGUCAGAUGUGAAAACUAUGGGCUUAACCCAUAAACUGCAUUUGAAACUGUGGUUCUUGAGUGAAGUAGAGGUAAGCGGAAUUCCUAGUGUAGCGGUGAAAUGCGUAGAUAUUAGGAGGAACAUCAGUGGCGAAGGCGGCUUACUGGGCUUUAACUGACGCUGAGGCUCGAAAGCGUGGGGAGCAAACAGGAUUAGAUACCCUGGUAGUCCACGCCGUAAACGAUGAUUACUAGGUGUGGGGGGACUGACCCCUUCCGUGCCGCAGCAAACGCAAUAAGUAAUCCACCUGGGGAGUACGACCGCAAGGUUGAAACUCAAAGGAAUUGACGGGGGCCCGCACAAGCAGUGGAGUAUGUGGAUUAAUUCGAAGCAACGCGAAGAACCUUACCAGGUCUUGACAUCGUAUGCAUACCUCAGAGAUGAGUGAAAUCUCUUCGGAGACAUAUAGACAGGUGGUGCAUGGUUGUCGUCAGCUCGUGUCGUGAGAUGUUGGGUUAAGUCCCGCAACGAGCGCAACCCUUACUGUUAGUUGCUACGCAAGAGCACUCUAGCAGGACUGCCGUUGACAAAACGGAGGAAGGUGGGGAUGACGUCAAAUCAUCAUGCCCCUUAUGACCUGGGCCUCACACGUACUACAAUGGCUGUCAACAGAGGGAUGCAAAGCCGCGAGGUGGAGCGAACCCCUAAAAGCAGUCUUAGUUCGGAUUGUAGGCUGCAACCCGCCUACAUGAAGUCGGAAUUGCUAGUAAUCGCAGAUCAGCAUGCUGCGGUGAAUACGUUCCCG